GUCAGAAUGGCCGAGUGGUCUAAGGCGCCAGACUCAAGGUGAUUCAACCUUCUCAGGAAGUGAGAUUUCUAGUCUCCAGCUGGAGGCGUGGGUUCAAAUCCCACUUCUGACA
rfam:Danio rerio chromosome 20, GRCz11 reference primary assembly.